rnacentral:rRNA from 1 species
ACGGGUGAGUAACACGUGGAUAACCUACCUAUAAGACUGGGAUAACUUCGGGAAACCGGAGCUAGUACCGGAUAACAUAUUGAACCGCAUGGUUCAAUAGUGAAAGGCGGCUUUGCUGUCACUUAUAGAUGGAUCCGCGCCGUAUUGGCUAGUUGGUAAGGUAACGGCUUACCAAGGCAACGAUACGUAGCCGACCUGAGAGGGUGAUCGGCCACACUGGAACUGAGACACGGUCCAGACUCCUACGGGAGGCAGCAGUAGGGAAUCUUCCGCAAUGGGCGAAAGCCUGACGGAGCAACGCCGCGUGAGUGAUGAAGGUCUUCGGAUCGUAAAACUCUGUUAUCAGGGAAGAACAAAUGUGUAAGUAACUGUGCACAUCUUGACGGUACCUGAUCAGAAAGCCACGGCUAACUACGUGCCAGCAGCCGCGGUAAUACGUAGGUGGCAAGCGUUAUCCGGAAUUAUUGGGCGUAAAGCGCGCGUAGGCGGUUUUUUAAGUCUGAUGUGAAAGCCCACGGCUCAACCGUGGAGGGUCAUUGGAAACUGGAAAACUUGAGUGCAGAAAAGGAAAGUGGAAU